AUUCCAGCUCCAAUAGCGUAUAUUAAAGUUGUUGCAGUUAAAAAGCUCGUAGUUGGAGUUCAGAGUGAGCUCAGCCGGUCCGCCUCAUGGGUGAGUACUGGUCGACUCUCUCUUGUUUGUGAAUCCCGCCCGGAGUUAAUUCUUCGGGAUGUGGAGUUCACAUCGUUUACCUUGAAAAAAUUAGAGUGUUCAAAGCAGGCGUUUGCUUGAAUAUAUUAGCAUGGAAUAAUGGAAUAGGACCCUGGUUCUAUUUUGUUGGUUUUGAGGACCAGAGUAAUGAUUAAUAGGGAUAGUUGGGGGCAUUCAUAUUUCAUUGUCAGAGGUGAAAUUCUUGGAUUUAUGAAAGAUGAACUUCUGCGAAAGCAUUUGCCAAGGAUGUUUUCAUCA
rnacentral:rRNA from 1 species